rnacentral:rRNA from 1 species
AAUCAACGCUGGCGGCGUGCCUCAGACAUGCAAGUCGAACGCGAAAGUUUCCUUCGGGGAGCGAGUAGAGUGGCGCACGGGUGAGUAACACGUAGGUAAUCUACCUUCGGAUGGGGAAUAACAAUCGGAAACGGUUGCUAAUACCGCAUAAUGCAGCGGCACCUAAUGGUGACAGUUGUUAAAGCGGGGGAGUCGUAAGACCUCGCGUCUGAAGAGGAGCCUGCGGCGGAUUAGCUUGUUGGUAAGGUAAUGGCUUACCAAGGCGACGAUCCGUAACCGGCCUGAGAGGGCGGUCGGUCACACUGACACUGACAUACGGGUCAGACUCCUACGGGAGGCAGCAGUCGGGAAUUUUGGGCAAUGGGCGAAAGCCUGACCCAGCAACGCCGCGUGAAGGAUGAAAUCCCUCGGGAUGUAAACUUCGCAAGGAACGGGAAGAAUAAGCGAGAGUUAAUAUCUUUCAUGAUGACGGUUACCGUUUGUAAGCUCCGG